rnacentral:rRNA from 1 species
GAAUUGACGGGGGCCCGCACAAGCAGUGGAGUAUGUGGUUUAAUUCGAAGCAACGCGAAGAACCUUACCAGGUCUUGACAUCCACCGAAUCCGGAAGAGAUUCCGGAGUGCCCUUCGGGGAACGGUGAGACAGGUGGUGCAUGGUUGUCGUCAGCUCGUGUCGUGAGAUGUUGGGUUAAGUCCCGCAACGAGCGCAACCCUCGUUAAUAGUUGCUACGCAAGAGCACUCUAUUAAGACUGCCGUUGAUAAAACGGAGGAAGGUGGGGAUGACGUCAAAUCAUCAUGCCCCUUAUGAUCUGGGCUACACACGUGCUACAAUGGCCGUUAACAGAGGGAAGCAAUACCGCGAGGUGGAGCCAAACCCUAAAAGCGGUCUCAGUUCAGAUUGCAGGCUGCAACCCGCCUGCAUGAAGACGGAAUUGCUAGUAAUCGCGGAUCAGCAUGCCGCGGUGAAUACGUUCCCGGGCCUUGUACACACCG